GGACUGGAUGGACUCUGGUCUGAUCCAGCAGGCUAGUUCUUAUGUUCUUAUAGAACAGGGUUCUUUAAUCCAGUUACUCUGAAACCGCUGAGUUUUUAAAGAAUUUAUUAAAAGGAAAGAAAAGGAA